rnacentral:miRNA from 1 species
UGUGACUGCAUUAUGAAAAUUCU